CGACCGGCGUCGCACCACGCGCCCACUCACCGCUCUCUUUCUGGUUCGAACCCAAGGCGCUUACUUCUCAGACUGCCUUGGAGGAACGAGAAGAUUUGAUGUGCCAGGCCUAAAGAUGCUGGAUGUUAGGCUGCUGAGGUCUUGUGAGAUGUGAUAUGGCCUUGUGUGGCCUUAGGCUGCCUUGGGCAUUUUAGACAUUUGCCUAUUUGAAGUGUUCAGCCAAAAUCCCGUCGGUGAUCAGGCCGAAGCUGGAGCAAGCGCGCCAUGUCGAGGUCAUGUCUGGUGCCAAUACGUAGUCGCAGGAACAUAUUCAAUGUACUGGUAACAUAAUCAAAAGCGUCACAGUGCAAUUUCUUUGCAGGACAAGGGAAAAAAAGAAUAGCAGGACUGAACAUUCGCUUACGUGUCCUCCUCCUGGCAUGUUGUUGCGUUGGGUCGCCUGUAGGUGACAUUGUGCCCGGGGACAUUGAGAUAACUUCAAUGCUGUAUUGUCUGUCUUCCAACCAGUAAGAUAUAAUACAUGGAUCUUUUAAC
rnacentral:lncRNA from 1 species